rnacentral:rRNA from 1 species
CUCCAGACUCCUACGGGAGGCAGCAGUCGGGAAUAUUGCACAAUGGGGGAAACCCUGAUGCAGCGACGCCGCGUGAGUGAAGAAGUAUUUCGGUAUGUAAAGCUCUAUCAGCAGGGAAGAAAAUGACGGUACCUGACUAAGAAGCCCCGGCUAACUACGUGCCAGCAGCCGCGGUAAUACGUAGGGGGCAAGCGUUAUCCGGAUUUACUGGGUGUAAAGGGGGCGCAGACGGCAGCGCAAGCCAGGAGGGAAAGCCCGGGGCCCAACCCCGGGACUGCUCUUGGAACUGCGCGGCUGGAGUGCAGGAGGGGCAGGCGGAAUUCCUGGUGUAGCGGUGAAAUGCGUAGAUAUCAGGAGGAACACCGGUGGCGAAGGCGGCCUGCUGGACUGCGACUGACGUUGAGGCCCGAAAGCGUGGGGAGCAAACAGGAUUAGAUACCCUAGUACA